UACGUAGGGUGCGAGCGUUGUCCGGAAUUACUGGGCGUAAAGAGCUCGUAGGUGGUUUGUCGCGUUGUUCGUGAAAACUCACAGCUCAACUGUGGGCGUGCGGGCGAUACGGGCGGACUUGAGUACUGCAGGGGAGACUGGAAUUCCUGGUGUAGCGGUGGAAUGCGCAGAUAUCAGGAGGAACACCGGUGGCGAAGGCGGGUCUCUGGGCAGUAACUGACGCUGAGGAGCGAAAGCGUGGGGAGCGAACAGG
rnacentral:rRNA from 1 species